UCCGGUCCGCCGAUCGAU
rnacentral:snRNA from 1 species